GCCACCGCGUAGCCCUGUCCUGGCCUCGGUUGCGCCGGACUCGGAGGUGCCUUCCCUGUUUCUUCUCCCUGCCGUCCUCCCGGCCGCUCAGCCCCCUGCGCCGCCCGCCCCUUCCCCCGCACCGGUUCCCGCGCGCGCCAGGCCGUGUGGCCUCUGCUCAGCGUCGGCUGCGCUGCUGGGAGCUGGCACCCGUUCGGCCUGCCCUGCGCGGGCCACUCGAUCCCUCCUGGCCUCCCCGCCUCCGGCGUGGCUGGGCAAGGCCGCGCCAAGGUGGGGGGUGGGGAGGAUAAAAUUGGGUUCUGCGGGUUUUGGAAACUCACCGCCCGCGGGAGGGUUUGUUGUCCGUUUAACUCGUCUUAGUAAACUGUGCAGGUAGCGUGGUCAGGCCGAGGGCGCAGGGGCGCGGCGGCAUUGACGAUCACUUCCCCGGACUAGUGCCCAGGGUCGCACCGCCCUCCCACCCUCCGUUCUGGAAUUUGCUCCCUGGGGAGGAUGGGUGUCUAAAGCCAAAGUCGGAGGACACAGCUGCUGGCUAUAGGUUACAGGAAGGCCAACGUAUCAUCUGAGGGUGCAGUGGUAUUUGCAGGCUUCUGGGCACAAAAUGUGAAAUUUAAAACCACUAGUUGCCAGGUAGGUGGCCGAAAGACUUUUUGUCCAGAGCCGCCUCCAAUGGCCAAGAUAUGAUUUGAUAACAGCUUUAGGAAGAGCCAAGAACACUCUGCGUAGGUGUGCCUUCAGAGAUUCCAGAACUUGCAACACUUGGAGGGAAGGACUUUCUGACGCUGUUCCGCUGGAGUGGCCUAUUCUUGCUAGUGAUGGCCGUUCCAGGCUCCAGGACACGUGUACUGCCCAACUUUGAGACUCUCUUGUUUCCCAGUGGCUUGCCCCUCACUGUCGCCUCCGCUUUCUACCUUGCUUCUAGCACAUGAGCUUGCUGAUGAUAGCCAAAUUGAUGACCUGUGAUCUGACUUGGCAGUUUUACCAUUAUGGAUAGGAGUAGUAAAUCGGUGUUGCCCUUUUUUUUUUUUUUAACAGCUCCUGAAUCAGCAAACUGGAAGUUGCUUAGUUUUCAUCAGAAGCAUUCCAGGCAUGUCUAGUUAUAUUAUGGUUCUGGAGCACUAGUGGUCCCACUACACUGUGGGGCUCCAAGGCUUGACGACAGUUCUUCCCCAGAUUAUAUCCUUUUUAUAUACAGUAUCCAGGGAGACAGGCUUAUGAAAUUAAUCAGUGAUUGGACAGGGCUGUGCAGAGAACCAGGGAGAGAUUCUUACACAUCAUAUGCCUAUCCAACCCUUUAUAACCUCUUAAGUCCCUUUUCCAGCCACUGAAUAGGGAAAAGUUAAGCUUUGUGAAAGAUAGGACUAGGCCAGAAAAAGGUUGAGAAAUGGAAUAUUCAAACCUUGAAUGCAGAAAAAUACUUUAGAAAUACAGCUUAUGGCCAUUCUUAUACUUAGGAUCUAGGUAGUAAUAUUUCUCCAGCAAUCCUUGGGAUUUUUAGAGUUGUGUUCCUUCCCAUUUCUACCUGCAGCCCUCAUCCCCCAUCCCCAUGAAACAUAAACUAUUUCCAGAACUCUUAGCUUGUAUAGAUUAAAUAUUAGCAUAAAACGUAUUUACUGUGCCAACAAUUAUAAAUGCUGUCACUUUUUAAGCUAACCGUACUUUUUUGGGGUUUUGUUAAUGUUUAUUGGCCUCUAGAUCCAUCUAGAUUUGAUCAAAAGUGGUACUUUAUCAGGGAGCCAUAGUUAGGAACACGAUAGAAAUAUCUGCAUUUAUUAACUAAUAUACAAGUCUGCCUAGGAUCAGGCAUAGUAUUCCCUACCUUACCGGGAAGAGAAGUUUGAGCCUUUUAUAUGUUUAUGACACGUGGAUUUUUGCCUGAUUUUUCCAAUUUUCUAUUCUGUAUAUGAUCCUAAAUCAGACUGUCAAUUUUUGAUCCAGGUAUUUUUGAGAAGAAAAAAUUAAAAUGUAUCUCUCUACCUUACCCCUGAUCAUUGUAAACAACUAAAGAGGUUGGGUGCUACAUUGGGUGAGUUUACUGGACCUUAUCGCUGUUUCUUUAAGUGGUAGAAGCAGCUUCUUCAUAGCACAUCUUCACUAAGCAAAAUAUGUGUUUUCCAGGGGUCUUCUGGGGCUUAGUAAGUGGGAACCAUUCUCUUGAAGGAGGAAACCUUUUGUCUUUUGAAAAUGGGUAAGAAAAUGGGAGAAUGUCACUGAAUUACUCUUAAGUGCAGCAGUAGGAAGACUUGGAGGGGAAGGAAGGCCAAGAAAUCUACAUUGCAGGCUAUCAAAAUUCUACCUGCUUGGUCUGAAGAAAGAAGAAAAAGAAA